AACCCGCAAUAACGCGAGAAUAUUAACAACCAAGGAAAGGAAGAACGUGUUCACAGACCCGUUCCACGUCCACAUCCUGCCCCGCGGACACGCAGACGUUCGUUAAAUACAACGGCCAACUUGGGGGAGCUGUUGGAUCAUGCAAAUCCACUUUGAUUGGGACUUUCUGGUUUAUUGAUGGAGGGCCAAAAGGAGGAGCAUCAAUCUUGCAGUGACUGUGUAGCUCCUGUCUGCUGUCUGUCCAGGAGUACUUUGUGUGGACUUUGGCCAGGAUAAGAAUAAG